CAUGACGGUACCGUAAGAAUAAGCACCGGCUAACUACGUGCCAGCAGCCGCGGUAAUACGUAGGGCGCAAGCGUUGUCCGGAAUUAUUGGGCGUAAAGAGCUUGUAGGCGGUUUGUCGCGUCUGCUGUGAAAGACCGGAGCUUAACUCCGUGUAUUGCAGUGGGUACGGGCAGACUAGAGUGCAGUAGGGGAGACUGGAAUUCCUGGUGUAGCGGUGAAAUGCGCAGAUAUCAGGAGGAACACCGAUGGCGAAGGCAGGUCUCUGGGCUGUAACUGACGCUGAGAAGCGAAAGCAUGGGGAGCGAACAGGAUUAGAUACCCUGGUAGUC
rnacentral:rRNA from 1 species